rnacentral:rRNA from 1 species
AUUGAACGCUGGCGGAAUGCUUUACACAUGCAAGUCGAACGGCAGCACGGACUUCGGUCUGGUGGCGAGUGGCGAACGGGUGAGUAAUGUAUCGGAACGUGCCCAGUCGUGGGGGAUAACGUAGUGAAAAUUACGCUAAUACCGCAUACGAUCUAUGGAUGAAAGCGGGGGAUCGCAAGACCUCGCGCGAUUGGAGCGGCCGAUAUCAGAUUAGGGUAGUUGGUGGGGUAAAGGCCCACCAAGCCAACGAUCUGUAGCUGGUCUGAGAGGAAGACCAGCCACACGGGAACUGAGACACGGUCCAGACUCCUACGGGAGGCAGCAGUGGGGAAUUUGGGACAAUGGGCGAAAGCCUGAUCCAGCCAUUCCGCGUGCAGGAGGAAGGCCCUCGGGUUGUAAACUGUUUUUGUACAGAACGAAAAGGUUUCUACUAAUACUAGGAGCUCAUGACGGUACUGUAAGAAUAAGCACCGGCUAACUACGUGCCAGCCGCCGCGGUAA